rnacentral:rRNA from 1 species
GGUUCAGGACGAACGCUGGCGGCGUGCCUAACACAUGCAAGUCGAGCGGGGACAUGCGACGGAGAUGAAGAUUCGGUUGGAUUCAAAGAUGUAUUGUCUAGCGGCGGACGGGUGAGUAACGCGUGAGCAACCUGUCCCUUACAGGGGAUAACACAGCGAAAGUUGUACUAAUACCGCAUAAGACCACGGGUUCACAUGGACCAGGGGUCAAAGGAGCAAUCCGGUGAGGGGUGGGCUCGCGUCCGAUUAGAUAGUUGGUGAGGUAACGGCCCACCAAGUCGACGAUCGGUAGCCGACCUGAGAGGGUGAUCGGCCACAUUGGGACUGAGACACGGCCCAAACUCCUACGGGAGGCAGCAGUGGGGAAUAUUGGGCAAUGGGGGAAACCCUGACCCAGCAACGCCGCGUGAGGGAAGAAGGUUUUCGGAUCGUAAACCUCUGUCCUUGGUGAAGAGGAAGAGACGGUAGCCAAGGAGGAAGCCCCGGCUAACUACGUGCCAGCCGCCGC